rnacentral:rRNA from 1 species
ACUGUGGGUAGCGGAGAAAUUCCAAUCGAACCCGGAGAUAGCUGGUUCUCUCCGAAAUAGCUUUAGGGCUAGCCUUGAAAUAGAUUACCGGAGGUAAAGCACUGAAUUGGCUAGGGGCCGAGAGGUUACUGAACCUUAUCAAACUAAGAAUGCCGGAUAAUCGUUUUUCAGGAGUCAGACAGUGGGAGAUAAGUUUCAUUGUCAAAAGGGAAACAGCCCAGACCCACAGCUAAGGUCCCCAAGUAUAGUUAAGUGGAAAAGGAUGUGGAAUUGCACAGACAACCAGGAUGUUGGCUUAGAAGCAGCCACUCAUUUAAAGAGUGCGUAAUAGCUCACUGGUCGAGUGAUUCUGCGCCGAAAAUUUCCGGGGCUAAAACUUACUACCGAAGCUACGGCAUCAUUAUGAUGGGUAGGGGAGCUUUCUAUGCGGCUUGAAGCAUGACCGUAAGGACAUGUGGACUGCAUAGAAGUGAGAAUGUUGGCAUGAGUAGCGAGAUGUGGGUGAGAAUCCCACAGGCCGUAAACCCAAGGUUUCCAGGGGAAGGUUCGUCCGCCCUGGGUUAGUCAGGACCUAAGCCGAGGCCGAAAGGCGUAGGUGAUGGACAACAGGUUGAUAUUCCUGUACCACCAAUAACCGUUUGAGAAAUGGGAUGACACAGUAGGAUAAGCUAACCGCACUGUUGGUUAUGUGCGGGCAAGUAUUGAGGCAGUUCCGAUAGGCAAAUCCGUCGGAAUAAUGCUGGGGUACGAUGCGGAGCGAAAUUUAGUAGCGAAGUAGCUGAUUUCACACUGUCGAGAAAAGUCUCUAUCGAGGUUAAAGGUGCCUGUACCGCAAACCGACACAGGUGGGUGAGGAGAGUAUCCUAAGGCCAGCGAGAGAACUGUUGUUAAGGAACUCGGCAAAAUGACCCCGUAACUUCGGGAGAAGGGGUGCCUUCGAAAGAAGGCCGCAGAGAAUAGGCCCAAGCGACUGUUUACCAAAAACAUAGGUUUCUGCUAAGUCGCAAGACGAUGUAUAGGAGCUGACGCCUGCCCGGUGCUGGAAGGUUAAGGGGAUCUGUUAGAGCAAUCGAAGCAGUGAACUUAAGCCCCAGUAAACGGCGGCCGUAACUAUAACGGUCCUAAGGUAGCGAAAUUCCUUGUCGGGUAAGUUCCGACCCGCACGAAAGGCGUAACGAUUUGGGCACUGUCUCAACAACAGACUCGGUGAAAUUGUAAUACCGGUGAAGAUGCCGGUUACCUGCGACAGGACGGAAAGACCCCAUGGAGCUUUACUGUAGCUUGACAUUGAGUCUCGGUGCUACAUGUACAGGAUAGGUGGGAGACUAUGAAGCAUGGACGUCAGUCUGUGUGGAGUCAUCCUUGGGAUACCACCCUUGUAGUACUGGGAUUCUAACCAGAGGCCAUGAAUCUGGUCUUGGGACACUGUCAGGUGGACAGUUUGACUGGGGCGGUCGCCUCCCAAAAAGUAACGGAGGCGCUCAAAGGUUCUCUCAGUACGGUCGGAAAUCGUACGAAGAGUGUAAAGGCAAAAGAGAGCUUGAUUGCAAGACAUACAGGUCGAGCAAGGACGAAAGUCGGACUUAGUGAUCCGGUGGUUCCGCAUGGAAGGGCCAUCGCUCAACGGAUAAAAGCUACCCUGGGGAUAACAGGCUGAUCUCCCCCAAGAGUCCACAUCGACGGGGAGGUUUGGCACCUCGAUGUCGGCUCAUCACAUCCUGGGGCUGUAUUCGGUCCCAAGGGUUCGGCUGUUCGCCGAUUAAAGUGGUACGCGAGCUGGGUUCAGAACGUCGUGAGACAGUUCGGUCCCUAUCCGUCGCAGGCGUAGGAAAUUUGAGGAGACCUGUCCUUAGUACGAGAGGACCGGGAUGGACGUACCGCUGGUGUACCAGUUGUUCUGCCAAGGGCAUGGCUGGGUAGCUAAGUACGGAAAGGAUAAGCGCUGAAAGCAUCUAAGCGCGAAGCCAUCCCCAAGAUAAGUCUUCCCUUGAGGGGCGUAGGAGACUACUACGUUGAUAGGCUGCAGGUGUAAAGACAGCAAUGUCAAAGCCGAGCAGUACUAAUUACCCGAUAGGCUUUCUU